UUUUGGACAAUGGGCGCAAGCCUGAUCCAGCCAUUCCGCGUGAGUGAAGAAGGCCUUCGGGUUGUAAAGCUCUUUCGCAAGGGAAGAAAACUUACUUUCUAAUAAAGAGUGAGGUUGACGGUACCUCGAUAAGAAGCACCGGCUAACUGCGUGCCAGCAGCCGCGGUAAUACGUAGGGUGCGAGCGUUAAUCGGAAUUACUGGGCGUAAAGCGUGCGCAGGCGGCUUUGUAAGUCAGAUGUGAAAUCCCCGAGCUCAACUUGGGAACUGCGUUUGAAACUACAAGGCUAGAAUAUGUCAGAGGGGGGUAGAAUUCCACGUGUAGCAGUGAAAUGCGUAGAGAUGUGGAGGAAUACCAAUGGCGAAGGCAGCCCCCUGGGGUAAUAUUGACGCUCAUGCACGAAA
rnacentral:rRNA from 1 species